UGGUUCUGUAGCAUGAUGAACUAAAGCCUCUAGCCAAAACAUUCACCGACUCCCUUGUCCAGCUACGAAAUUUGAAGCUUGAACAUUUGCCACAACAGCAUCAUGGAUCUGCCCUCACACUUGUAGAAUCGCUAUCCAGCCUUGUUAUCAUUGGGGAACAACACAGAAUUUGAAACGGGCUGUUCUUUGGCUUCCUGAAAAUCUAACUUUUCAUGUUGAUGCGAGGAUACAUCUUCUUCAGUGCAACAUAAGAGUUCUUGGAGGACUUGUUUCUGCUCAUAUUCUUGCAACUGAUUCUACAAAUAGCUUGGUCCAAAGAAAUUAUAAGAAUCAACUUCUUAUCCUGCCAUAAGAUUUACGGCCGCGCUUUCUACCUGCUUUUGAUACCCCCACUGGAUUGCCAUAUGCAUGGAUUAACUUGAAGGUACUUCUUAUAUCAUGCUUAACUUAUAAGACAAAUUCCAAAUCCCCAAUUGUUUACAAAUUGUUAUGUAUCCAAGAUGUUUUAUUUAACCUGGUAAAGUAGCUUUGAAUUU